AUAAUACUGUCAAACAAUUAACACUACAUAGAUAGUUUUCUUAUCAGACUAAAAACAAUAAUUUAAAAACAAUAUAAAUUAAUUAAAUAACAAUAAUAAUGUUUAAAAAAAGUUCUAUAAGCUACUGUUUAAUACUAACCAUUGUUGCUGUCAUUUCCCACAAUCAUAUGGGAGAAGCUGCUAGCCGCACAUGUCCCAAAAAUGAAUUCUAUACAGAUUGCGGUGCUAACUGUCAAACUGAAUGCGCUACUUUGAAUGAACCCUGUUAUAUAAAUUAUAUUAGAUGUCCAGAUGGUUGUUAUUGUAAUAAGGGUUAUGCACGUGAUGCCAAUCGUAAAUGUAUACCAAUUAGUCAGUGUUCCAAAUAAUGGAUAUAAAAACAUGUACGAUAUAUAAAAUAAAUGGAUGAAAUAAUUUAAAUGUGAA